CAAUACACACAGCGGAUUAGUGAUAGCCUUUCUUUGGUGAAGCUAUUCUUUCAAUAGAUAUUAGCAGCAACAAAUGAUGCCUUUACUACUCUAAUAUAUAGGUGGGAGUGGGCACGACGUUAUUCAGUAAGACAACUAGAAUCACAGCACUAGAGUUGGUUUGAAAAUGACUCAACACUCUAUUGUUUAUGCAGCUCAAUACAUAUCAUUAAUUGGUUUGAAAAUGAUACAACACUCGAUCUAUUGUUUAGACAAUGGGAAUCAAAUGCUUAAACAUACAAAAGAGUAUGUCUUUCGUCAAAGAAAGCUGCAUGGUUCUACAAUUAUGCAGCAACUAGCAAACAACUGUAGACGAAACCUUGCUAGGAGGGUGAAGGAAACGAAGCGGAGUUAAAAAAUGAGCAUGGCAAGUCAUCAAAUGUGUCACAGUUGGUGAUGGAGCUUUUGGAAAGACUUGCAUGCU